rnacentral:rRNA from 1 species
AUUGAACGCUGGCGGCAGGCCUAACACAUGCAAGUCGAGCGAGCGGCGGACGGGUGAGAAAUGUCUGGGAAACUGUCUGAUGGAGGGGGAUAACAACUGGAAACGGUAGCUAAUACCGCACACCAUCAGAUGUGUCCAGAUGGGAUUAGCUAGACGGUGGGGUAACGGCUCACCUAGGCGACGAUCCCUAGCUGGUCUGAGAGGAUGACCCGCCACACUGGAACUGAGACACGGUCCAGACUCCUACGGGAGGCAGCAGUGGGGAAUAUUGCGCAAUGGGCGCAAGCCUGAUGCAGCCAUGACGCGUGUGUGAAGAAGGCCUUCGGGUUGUAAAGCACUUUCAGCGAGGAGGCGUUACCCGCAGAAGAAGCACCGGCUAACUCCGUGCCAGCAGCCGCGGUAAUUC